GACGAACGCUGGCGGCGUGCUUAAUACAUGCAAGUCGAGCGAGGCCUUGGAAUUGGAGUCCUUCGGAUGAAGAGUCCUUGGCCUAGCGGCGGACGGGUGAGUAACGCGUGGGCGAACCUACCCCAAAGUCCGGGAUAACAGUGGGAAACCGCUGCUAAUACCGGAUGGCUUUACCUGAGGGCAUCCUUGGGUAAAGAAAGGUUACGCUUUGGGAUGGGCCCGCGUCCCAUUAGCUAGUUGGUGAGGUAACGGCUCACCAAGGCGACGAUGGGUAGCCGGCCUGAGAGGGUGUACGGACACAUUGGGACUGAGAUACGGCCCAAACUCCUACGGGAGGCAGCAGCUAAGAAUAUUCCGCAAUGGACGAAAGUCUGACGGAGCGACGCCGCGUGGAUGAAGAAGGCGAAAGGUUGUAAAAUCCUUUUGUCGAUGAGGAAUAAGUGUGGGAGGGAAUGCCCGCAUGAUGAACUGUAGUCGGUGAAUAAGCCCCGGACUAACUACGUGCCAGCAGCCGGGUAAAC
rnacentral:rRNA from 1 species